rnacentral:lncRNA from 1 species
AUGAGCGACAAGUUUCACGGUGAGCUGACUCAGAGGGAGCAGGAGUUGCUGAAAAUGCGGAGAGACAGUGACACUAAGGCCGCCGAACUUGCCAAGAUGGAGAAGAUGCUGCAGCAGACCAAGAACCUGUUGGACAAGAAGAAAGAGUCUAGUUCAGACAGCAUGGGCUACCAGGAGAACAUGGUGGAGGACCUGGAGGAAAAGGUGCGCUCCAGCAGACGGUACAGGAGGAACUCCCUCCAUCACACACAGAUGCUGGAGAGCCAGAUGAAGACUGUGAAAGGUGAGCUGGUGGGCACGCUGGACCACCUUCAGGAGCUGAGGAACGUCUUGCGCCGUUCCCAGCAGAAAGCCGAAGAGCGCAAAGCCACGAUGGAGAAGCUGGCGGCGGGGCUCAGGUGAAGCAUCUGUCUGCGGCUGCUUUCGAUUCGGAUCAAGGUUUUGACCUUCCUGAUGUCUUACAUCCUGCCAACGAAGAUGUCUAGAGUUUACAUUUAACAAGACCACACCCAUAAGCUGGUUAAAUGGAAGAAGAAAGAGACUUUGAGCUACUGUGCUGGUCCUCACUCUGUUGUUUGGCAUCCAAAGACUAAAUUUAAAAGACGAUCCAUGGUAUUUCACAACCUGCCAAAAAAUAUUUUUUCCCUCUAUUCCCCAUUUUUUUUGUCCUGCUCUUAUUAAUCUCAUAUUUUGAAGGCUUGAACAUGCUUCUCUGUGUCUUCUGGCAACAAUCUGAAGAUGAUUAUAUAAAUGCUGCUGCUUAUACAAGUGGGAAAGCCACAGAACAGUUUUGAAACUAUAUUAAAUCACACAUACAGUGUUCCAUAUUUCUGCAAUGUUCUUUUACCUUUUCAGUUCUGAAAUAUGGAGAUUGCACUUGUAUGAGAUCUCAGCGGCAAUAAUGAACAUUAUUCAUCCCCUAAAAAUAUAUCCUGAGCAGCCCUCAUAAAGGUUUUUUUUUCUGGUUUGCGUAUGCUCAUCCAUUUAUGCGUGAAAAUAUGAUUGAUGACAUUCUUCAUCUGCACCCCUGGGAAUCACCUCCAUGUCAUUGCUUCAUGAACCCAGUUUGAAUGAAUUCAACCCUGCCAAUAAUAACAUGUAAGUUGUGUUUUCUAAUGGGAAUCUGUAAGUUAAUCAAGUAAUUAGUUAAUUGUGAUGUUAUUAAAUUCUUACAAACAAUGUAAUCUUGUGCUGUAUGAAUUGUUUUUUGCACAGUAAUAGCAACAUUUGUUAAUUUUAUUUUUGUAUCUUUGUAGGACUGGUGAACAGGAAAAACACAGUUGCACCAAUUUUGUCUUUUAAAUGAAGCGCACAUAUAAAUCAUUCUAAAAUGUGAACAUUAAAUUGUGUAUUACAG